CCCAGAUUAGAUUGUACCCUGGCGAAUAAGCAAGAGUUCUUUUUCAUUUUCAUCUUGCAAUUCAACUGGGUAUUUGGGUUCUUUUUCUAUUCACUCAUGUCAGAUAGAGACAUGCAUGUUGUAAAUUAUUUUGUCAGAAUGAAAGCCUGGCAGAUUAAAUGCUUUCUUCUCUUCUUGCUUUACUUGAUAUCAAUCUCUUGUUCAUUUCUUGAUAAUAUGUUUGGUUAUUUUUGUUUUCAUUGCUUUUAGUGUCAGAGAUGGCUUUGGAUUCCCCGUUCUGUGUGCUGCUGUCUGGCUCCUGAACCCAGCUGUAGAGGUGUGUGUCAAUCCCAACUGGUGAAGUACUGAGAAGAAGCUACACAAAAGGCAGCAAAGUAUUAGUGAGUAGUGUCAUUGAGCAAACACAAAGUCGGGCUCAUCCAAGGAUGAGAUUUUGCCAGAGAAAGGACGAGCAGCAAGUCAGGGAGCUUAAGGUAAUUAUGGGAAAGUGACUAUCUGCAAUUGCUUAGGUAGAAGGAGACAGAUUGGAUUUUUGUGUGUUUGGUAUUUGGGAUAAGAGGGA
rnacentral:lncRNA from 1 species